AAGAAAUUAGUUAAAAUAUAACAUUAGAAUGUCAAACUAAAAUUAUUAAAUUAUUAAUAUUUCUUA
rnacentral:tRNA from 1 species